rnacentral:rRNA from 1 species
ACACAAAUAUGAAGGCGGGCUGGAAUCUCUCGGGGUUACAGCCUUGCUGAAUUAUUCACCCUUGUCUUUUGCGUACUUCUUGUUUCCUUGGUGGGUUCGCCCACCACUAGGACAAACAUAAACCUUUUGUAAUUGCAAUCAGCGUCAGUAACAAAUUAAUAAUUACAACUUUCAACAACGGAUCUCUUGGUUCUGGCAUCGAUGAAGAACGCAGCGAAAUGCGAUAAGUAGUGUGAAUUGCAGAAUUCAGUGAAUCAUCGAAUCUUUGAACGCACAUUGCGCCCUUUGGUAUUCCAAAGGGCAUGCCUGUUCGAGCGUCAUUUGUACCCUCAAGCUUUGCUUGGUGUUGGGCGUCUUGUCUCUAGCUUUGCUGGAGACUCGCCUUAAAGUAAUUGGCAGCCGGCCUACUGGUUUCGGAGCGCAGCACAAGUCGCACUCUCUAUCAGCAAAGGUCUAGCAUCCAUUAAGCCUUUUUUUCAACUUUUGACCUCGGAUCAGGUAGGGAUACCCGCUGAACUUAAGCAUAUCAAUAAGCGGAGGAAAAGAAACCAACAGGGAUUGCCCUAGUAACGGCGAGUGAAGCGGCAACAGCUCAAAUUUGAAAUCUGGCUCUUUUAGAGUCCGAGUUGUAAUUUGCAGAGGGCGCUUUGGCUUUGGCAGCGGUCCAAGUUCCUUGGAACAGGACGUCACAGAGGGUGAGAAUCCCGUACGUGGUCGCUGGCUAUUGCCGUGUAAAGCCCCUUCGACGAGUCGAGUUGUUUGGGAAUGCAGCUCUAAAUGGGAGGUACAUUUCUUCUAAAGCUAAAUAUUGGCCAGAGACCGAUAGCGCACAAGUAGAGUGAUCGAAAGAUGAAAAGCACUUUGGAAAGAGAGUCAAACAGCACGUGAAAUUGUUGAAAGGGAAGCGCUUGCAGCCAGACUUGCUUACAGUUGCUCAUCCGGGUUUUUACCCGGUGCACUCUUCUGUAGGCAGGCCAGCAUCAGUUUGGGCGGUAGGAUAAAGGUCUCUGUCACGUACCUCCUUUCGGGGAGGCCUUAUAGGGGAGACGACAUACUACCAGCCUGGACUGAGGUCCGCGCAU